rnacentral:rRNA from 1 species
UGCGGUUCAAUUGGAUUCAACGCCGGACAACUCACCAGGAGCGACGGUUACAUGAAGGCCAGGUUGAUGACCUUGCCUGAUUUUCCGAGAGGUGGUGCAUGGCCGUCGUCAGUUCGUACCGUAAGGCGUUCUGUUAAGUCAGAUAACGAACGAGACCCUCGCCCUUAAUUGCCAACCCAUUCUCCGGAGUGGGCGCACAUUAAGGGGACCGCUGGCGCUAAGCCAGAUGAAGGAGAGGUCAACGGUAGGUCCGUAUGCCCCGAAUCUCCUGGGCUACACGCGCGCUACAAAGGUUGGGACAAUGGGUUCCUACAUCGAAAGGUGACGGCAAUCCCGAAACCCAAUCGUAGUUCGGAUUGUGGGUUGUAACUCACCCACAUGAAGCUGGAUUCCGUAGUAAUCGCUUGUCAACAUCAAGCGGUGAAUAUGCCCCUGCUCCUUGCACACACCGCCCGUCAAACCACCCGAGUUGGGUCUGAGUGAAGGUUCCAUUUUUGGGGCGCUUGAACUUGGGUUCAGCAAGGAGGGUUAAGUCGUAACAAGGUAUCUGUA